UACGAAGGGGGCGAGCGUUGUUCGGAUUUACUGGGCGUAAAGGGCGCGCAGGCGGUUCUGUUUGUCGAGUGUGAAAGCCCCGGGCUCAACCUGGGAACUGCGCUCGAAACGGCGGAACUAGAGUUCGGGAGAGGAGAGUGGAAUUCCCAGUGUAGAGGUGAAAUUCGUAGAUAUUGGGAAGAACACCGGUGGCGAAGGCGGCUCUCUGGACCGAUACGUGACGCUGAGCGCGAAAGCGUGGGGAGCAAACAGG
rnacentral:rRNA from 1 species